rnacentral:rRNA from 1 species
UACAGAGGGGGCAAGCGUUGUUCGGAAUUACUGGGCGUAAAGGGCGCGUAGGCGGCCUUCUAAGUCGAACGUGAAAUCCCCGGGCUCAACCCGGGAACUGCGUCCGAUACUGGAAGGCUUGAAUCCGGGAGAGGGAUGCGGAAUUCCAGGUGUAGCGGUGAAAUGCGCAGAUAUCGGGAGGAACACCAGUGGCGAAGGCGGCACUCUGGGCCAGUACUGACACUGAGGAGCGAAAGCGUGGGGAGCGAACGGG